ACAGGGCGACUCCCUGGCUGUCAUGUGAAUUCCCAAAGAGGGACAGAAUCGAUUGGGCAAACUGUCUGAACUUCCACUUUAUGUUUAAAAUACCUCCUCUCCUCCAAAUCACGUAAGAAGGUCUUCACAUUGUGAGAGUCUGACAAUGGAUGGAGAUGUUUUGCUUAGGUCUUGAUCUUUCAGGGGAAGAAAAUGAGGACAUCAUCAAAGAGAUGUGUGUGAGAUUUCCGAAUUUAACUGUUUCCCUAUCCUGCUUCUUCUUUUUGCCUUUUUGGAGCAUUUGCUUCUGACCAGUAAUAUAUUCAAAUAAACAUUUCUAAGCAGCACCCUAUACUGUACAUAUGGAAUGCAGUAUAUGGAAUCCGCUAUUCAAAUAAGCAUCUCUAAGUAGCACCCUCUACUGUAUACAUGGAGUACAGUAUAUGCAAUACAGUGAGAUUUAAAAAAAA